rnacentral:tRNA from 1 species
GGGCCUUUAGCUCAGUUGGUUAGAGCAAUCGACUCAUAAUCGAUUGGUCGCUGGUUCGAGUCCAGCAAGGCCCACCA